rnacentral:rRNA from 1 species
AUCCUUGUUUGCCAGCGAGUAAUGUCGGGAACUCCAGGGAGACUGCCGGUGAUAAACCGGAGGAAGGUGGGGACGACGUCAAGUCAUCAUGGCCCUUACGAGUAGGGCUACACACGUGCUACAAUGGCGCAUACAGAGGGCAGCGAACUUGCGAAAGUAAGCGAAUCCCAAAAAGUGCGUCGUAGUCCGGAUUGGAGUCUGCAACUCGACUCCAUGAAGUCGGAAUCGCUAGUAAUCGUGGAUCAGAAUGCCACGGUGAAUACGUUCCCGGGCCUUGUACACACCGCCCGUCACACCAUGGGAGUGGGCUGCAAAAGAAGUAGGUAGUUUAACCUUCGGGAGGACGCUUA